UGGGGAAUAUUGCGCAAUGGGGGAAACCCUGACGCAGCAACGCCGCGUGAAGGAUGAAGGUUUUCGGAUCGUAAACUUCUUUGAUCAGGGAUGAUAAUGACAGUACCUGAAAAACAAGCCACGGCUAACUACGUGCCAGCAGCCGCGGUAAUACGUAGGUGGCAAGCGUUGUCCGGAUUUACUGGGUGUAAAGGGCGUGUAGGCGGGAUGGAAAGUCAGAUGUGAAAUACCGAGGCUCAACCUCGGGGCUGCAUUUGAAACUUCCAUUCUUGAGUGCAGGAGAGGAAAGCGGAAUUCCUAGUGUAGCGGUGAAAUGCGUAGAUAUUAGGAGGAACACCAGUGGCGAAGGCGGCUUUCUGGACUGUAACUGACGCUGAGGCGCGAAAGCAUGGGGAGCGAA
rnacentral:rRNA from 1 species